rnacentral:lncRNA from 1 species
GAUACCCCGGAUAAUUAGAAAGAUGUACGCUCGAGUGUGUUAUUUUGUUUGGACUUCAGUCGAAUCCUCAUUGAGCCCACCGAAACUCUUCUUAACUAACCUGUUUCGAUCUAGCCUUCAAAAAUUAUCUUCGAAACCCUCCCAAAAAGUUCAGCACAUACCCUUCUCCAAUAGGCUGCGUGAACUAAUUCAGUCACUACCAGCCUAUUCAUCAGUAACUCGAGUUGUAAUUGCACGUCCUUCAGAGUGAUAAUGCACUCGUUGCAUGGAAGAUAGAAU